GUGAAUAUAGUUUAAAAAAACACUAGAUUGUGAUUCUAGAAUUAAAGGUUAAACCCCUUUUGUUGACC
rnacentral:tRNA from 1 species